rnacentral:lncRNA from 1 species
AGCUAACUCUGCUGUUUUGAGCCAGACCUUGUUCUGUUAGAAAAACGAGUCAAACAAAUGCCUACUUAAGGGUCUUCCGUUGUACUGUCAUGGCUGCCUCUGUGUCCUGAAUCGAUUCCAGACAUUUGCCUUUUACAGUCAUUUUGACUUUGAGGAAGAGCCAGAAGUCACAGGAUGCCAGAUCUGGGGAAUAAGUCUCCUUUACACCUCAAUUGCAGCUGACCAAGAAGGAACUCACCCAGGCUGGUCAGGAGCCAAUCAGACGUCUUCUUUUGGAAAACAAGGCACGAAGGGCCAGGGCUCAAGCACUAGGAGGAAGGUGCAGGCUUUGCUGCAGAGGCUCUUGGAAUGGUCCUGGCUUCAGAGUCUGUUUGGUCACCUUCUCCUGGGAUCACAUUUCAUCCAGAUCUUUAGGAUCAGUUUUCCUGGAUUUAUAUUCAAUGACUGGUUUCUGUGCCGCCAAAUGAUCCUUCUCUCAUGUCUCCCCUUCCUGUAUUUCUCUCCCCAAAGGGAAACCACAGAUCUACCUAGACUAUGGCUACCUUCCAAAUCCUGA